CUCCAGGAGGCAGCAGGGCUGCCCUGGUGUGAUGUCCUGUGUGAAAAAGGUCUGUGAGAGCUUGGAUUUGCAGCUUGGGGUAGAGGAGAGAGGUUCCAUGAGAGCUUGGAUUUGCAAUAUGGGAUAGAGGACAGAGAAAGAGGUUCCACAAAAACUUGGAUUUCCAGCAUGGGGUAGAGGAGAGAGGUUCCAUAAGAACCUGGAUUUCCAAUAUGGGAUAGAGGACAGAGAAAGAGAUUCCACAAGAAUCUGGAUUUUCAGCAUGGAAUAGAGGAGAGAGGUUCCACAAGAACCUGGAUUUUCAGCAUUGGAUAGAGGAGAGAGAGGUUCCACAAAAACUUGGAUUUCUAGCAUGGGGUAGAGGACAGAGGUUCCAUGAGAACCUGGAUUUGCAAUAUGGGAUAGAGGAGAGAGAAAGAGAUUCCACAAGAACCUGGAUUUCCAGCUUGGGAUAAAGGAGGGAGGUUCCACAAGAACCUGGAUUUGAAGCUUGGGAUAGAGGCUCUGUGAGAGCCUUUGUGGGGUGGAAUUUUGGAGAAGAAAAUCCCCAAAACCUGGUGGUUUUGUGCUUAUUUUAGAUGCAGGCACCUCCCUGCUAACACCUCACUGGAGUUACUGCUUGUCAGAGCUCUGGGAUCCUGGAAUUGGGAAUCUGGGAGAUGUGCACUGAUGCUGGGAGUCAGAGUCACUUU